CAUGCAAGUCGAACGGAAAGGCCGGGUGCUUGCACCCGGUACUCGAGUGGCGAACGGGUGAGUAACACGUGGGUGAUCUGCCCUGCACUUCGGGAUAAGCCUGGGAAACUGGGUCUAAUACCGGAUAGGACCAUCGUUUAGUGUCGGUGGUGGAAAGUUUUUUCGGUGUGGGAUGAGCUCGCGGCCUAUCAGCUUGUUGGUGGGGUAAUGGCCUACCAAGGCGUCGACGGGUAGCCGGCCUGAGAGGGUGGACGGCCACAUUGGGACUGAGACACGGCCCAGACUCCUACGGGAGGCAGCAGUGGGGAAUAUUGCACAAUGGGCGCAAGCCUGAUGCAGCGACGCCGCGUGGGGGAUGACGGCCUUCGGGUUGUAAACUCCUUUCAACCAUGACGAAGCUUUUGUGACGGUAGUGGUAGAAGAAGCACCGGCUAACUAC
rnacentral:rRNA from 1 species